GACGAACGCUGGCGGCGUGCUUAACACAUGCAAGUCGAACGGAAAGGCCCUGCUUGCAGGGUACUCGAGUGGCGAACGGGUGAGUAACACGUGGGUGAUCUGCCCUGCACUUCGGGAUAAGCCUGGGAAACUGGGUCUAAUACCGGAUAGGAGCCAUUUUUAGUGUGAUGGUUGGAAAGUUUUUUCGGUGUAGGAUGAGCUCGCGGCCUAUCAGCUUGUUGGUGGGGUAAUGGCCUACCAAGGCGGCGACGGGUAGCCGGCCUGAGAGGGUGGACGGCCACAUUGGGACUGAGAUACGGCCCAGACUCCUACGGGGGGCAGCAGUGGGGAAUAUUGCACAAUGGGCGGAAGCCUGAUGCAGCAACGCCGCGUGGGGGAUGACGGCCUUCGGGUUGUAAACCGCUUUCGCCGGGGACGAAGCUUUUGUGACGGUAACUGGUAAAGAAGCCCCGGCUAACUACGUG
rnacentral:rRNA from 1 species